GAGCGACUUUGCGCUACACCCAGCUCCUGCCUGCUUUGCUCGGGGAGAAGGCGCAGCUGGGCAUGCUUUGAGUGUGUGUAUGUGUGUGGGGGGGGAGGGUGGAAGCCCCGGAGCAGCGGCGGCCACAACUUCGGGACCCCUCCGAUGCUGGUUUUAGUGGUGGCUACCCUACAGAAGGAUGACCAUGAUGGGAGAUGCAAGUGAGAUGCUGGCUGCAGCUUUGGAACAGAUGGAUGGCAUUAUUGCAGGGUCCAAAGCACUGGAAUACUCCAAUGGCUUGUUUGAUUGCCAGUCCCCGACGUCUCCGUUCAUGGGAAGUUUGCGGGUUCUGCACCUGGUGGAAGACCUCCGGGGUUUGUUGGAGAUGAUGGAAAUAGACGAGAAAGAAGGACUGAGGUGCCAGGUCCCCGAUUCGACGGCCGAGAUUUUG